CAGAUAGCUGGUGGGGAAAACCUCCUCUGUGAAAGGGAUGAUGUCAGUCUCUGCAGCUGAGCCCGCUCCCCAAUUCAAUGGGAUGACCACAUGCAGUUUCUCAGGCAGACGUGAGGGUGCCACACAAACCGUGAAGAGGAAAAAAGAAGAGGGAGGGUCUGCUGAAUUAAUGAAGAGCUGAAGCUCCCCUCACAUUCCCAACAGAGCUGACCUGCGCGACCCUCGGCCCGAGUGUCAUUACCGCUGACCGCCAGCUCGUCUCUUGCGGCCCAACCUCCCUGAGAGACAACGUGCUCCGCAGCAAGGCAUCGAGGAGGAGAGGAGGAGGUGAGAGCACACAGCUGCUGGCCAGAGGAUGUGGAAGGAGAUUGACUGGAUGCUGCACCAUCACAUCAAUUUCAGAGGGUUCAUCGUACUUCAGAGACCGGCUGUCAUCUCUGUCUCCACAUACAAGCCAGUGUGUACUAUGGCUUUUUAUUCCUAUGUGAUGG